CUGGCUCAGGAUGAACGCUGGCGGCGUGCCUAAUACAUGCAAGUCGAGCGAACGGACGAGAAGCUUGCUUCUCUGAUGUUAGCGGCGGACGGGUGAGUAACACGUGGAUAACCUACCUAUAAGACUGGGAUAACUUCGGGAAACCGGAGCUAAUACCGGAUAAUAUUUUGAACCGCAUGGUUCAAAAGUGAAAGACGGUCUUGCUGUCACUUAUAGAUGGAUCCGCGCUGCAUUAGCUAGUUGGUAAGGUAACGGCUUACCAAGGCAACGAUGCAUAGCCGACCUGAGAGGGUGAUCGGCCACACUGGAACUGAGACACGGUCCAGACUCCUACGGGAGGCAGCAGUAGGGAAUCUUCCGCAAUGGGCGAAAGCCUGACGGAGCAACGCCGCGUGAGUGAUGAAGGUCUUCGGAUCGUAAAACUCUGUUAUUAGGGAAGAACAUAUGUGUAAGUAACUGUGCACAUCUUGACGGUACCUAAUCAGAAAGCCACGGCUAACUACGUGCCAGCAGCCGCGGUAAUACGUAGGUGGCAAGCGUUAUCCGGAAUUAUUGGGCGUAAAGCGCGCGUAGGCGGUUUUUUAAGUCUGAUGUGAAAGCCCACGGCUCAACCGUGGAGGGUCAUUGGAAACUGGAAAACUUGAGUGCAGAAGAGGAAAGUGGAAUUCCAUGUGUAGCGGUGAAAUGCGCAGAGAUAUGGAGGAACACCAGUGGCGAAGGCGACUUUCUGGUCUGUAACUGACGCUGAUGUGCGAAAGCGUGGGGAUCAAACAGGAUUAGAUACCCUGGUAGUCCACGCCGUAAACGAUGAGUGCUAAGUGUUAGGGGGUUUCCGCCCCUUAGUGCUGCAGCUAACGCAUUAAGCACUCCGCCUGGGGAGUACGACCGCAAGGUUGAAACUCAAAGGAAUUGACGGGGACCCGCACAAGCGGUGGAGCAUGUGGUUUAAUUCGAAGCAACGCGAAGAACCUUACCAAAUCUUGACAUCCUUUGACAACUCUAGAGAUAGAGCCUUCCCCUUCGGGGGACAAAGUGACAGGUGGUGCAUGGUUGUCGUCAGCUCGUGUCGUGAGAUGUUGGGUUAAGUCCCGCAACGAGCGCAACCCUUAAGCUUAGUUGCCAUCAUUAAGUUGGGCACUCUAAGUUGACUGCCGGUGACAAACCGGAGGAAGGUGGGGAUGACGUCAAAUCAUCAUGCCCCUUAUGAUUUGGGCUACACACGUGCUACAAUGGACAAUACAAAGGGCAGCGAAACCGCGAGGUCAAGCAAAUCCCAUAAAGUUGUUCUCAGUUCGGAUUGUAGUCUGCAACUCGACUACAUGAAGCUGGAAUCGCUAGUAAUCGUAGAUCAGCAUGCUACGGUGAAUACGUUCCCGGGUCUUGUACACACCGCCCGUCACACCACGAGAGUUUGUAACACCCGAAGCCGGUGGAGUAACCUUUUAGGAGCUAGCCGUCGAAGGUGGGACAAAUGAUUGGGGUGAAGUCGUAACAAGGUAGCCGUAUCGGAAGGUGCGGCUGGAUCACCUCCUUUCUAA
rnacentral:rRNA from 1 species